UCCCUGGUGGUCUAGUGAUUAAGAACUUGACAUUGUUACUGCUGUGGCUCAGGUUUGAUCCCUGACCUAGGAA
rnacentral:tRNA from 1 species